GUAGGCGAUGUGAAACUCUCUCGGUCAUCGGCGCACGCUGCGUAGUUUUGCUAUACUCCCGGUGCAUCUUGGUAGGCUUGUAUGUCUUAAACUUUUCCAGAAGGAACCAUCGUACUCCGACGGUACGGCAGGACUAAAUGGAGUGACAAAAAGUGUCCUGAAAAGGGAAACUGCUAGCACACAUGUGGUUGUGCCACAACGUCCGCCUCGCUCAGAGAACCACACGAACUUUACCUGUUACUCAUUAUCAUUCGGAGUACAGCGAUAUUGGUCCUGAAGACAGGUUGUCUCUGAACACUCCCUUACAGUCGUACAACACAAUCUCAGAAGAUUCGCUAGGACGCUAAAGAUUACUUCAUGGUUGAGAUGCACAUAUUCAACAGAACGUUGCCAACGGGAUCCUGCAAGCUUCGAGGCGCUCGUUUGCUGGUCGGUGAAACAACAUCGGAGAACGUCAAAGCCUCUAACCGAACACAAUCGCUAAAUAUUUAAUCCCCCACGUCAUUAUGUUCCAUCGCGCAAUGUAGCAGCCCCGUGUGGUAACUAAUACGGACGAUGAAUACAACGAUGUCUAGUUUAUUUCCCCCAUUGUCUGCAGUUAUGCACGGUGUGAGUUGCCUGAAAGCAGUUUGAAUUAAGAAAACCUCUGAGUUUUUUAACUGUCUUGAAAUGUAAACAAACCUUCACCCUUUUGUCAGCAUUAGGGCGGGUGACCCUGGUUCCUUCCCCCAUGAUUGGCGGACAGUGGUCACG
rnacentral:lncRNA from 1 species